rnacentral:rRNA from 1 species
UACGUAGGGAGCAAGCGUUGUCCGGAAUCAUUGGGCGUAAAGCGCGCGUAGGUGGCCCUGUAAGUCCGUUGUGAAAGUCAAAGGCUCAACCUUUGAAAGCCGAUGGAUACUGCAGGGCUGGAGUCCGGAAGAGGCGAGUGGAAUUCCUGGUGUAGCGGUGGAAUGCGUAGAGAUCCGGAAGAACACCGGUGGCGAAGGCGGCCUGCUGGGCAGUGGCUGACGCUGAGGCGCGACAGCGUGGGGAGCAAACAGG